ACGGGAGGCAGCAGUCGGGAAUAUUGCGCAAUGGAGGAAACUCUGACGCAGUGACGCCGCGUGCAGGAAGAAGGUUUUCGGAUUGUAAACUGCUUUAGACAGGGAAGCAGAAGUGACAGUACCUGUAGAAUAAGCUCCGGCUAACUACGUGCCAGCAGCCGCGGUAAUACGUAGGGAGCGAGCGUUAUCCGGAUUUAUUGGGUGUAAAGGGUGCGUAGACGGGAAAUUAAGUUAGUUUUGAAAUCCCACGGCUCAACUGUGGAACUGCAACUAAAACUGGUUUGCUUGAGUGCUGGAGAGGAAAGUGGAAUUCCUAGUGUGGCGGUGAAAUGCGUAGAUAUUAGGAGGAACACCAGUGGCGAAGGCUACUUUCUGGACAGAAACUGACUUUGAGGCACGAAAGUGUGGGGAGCAAACAGGAUUAGAUACCCUGGUA
rnacentral:rRNA from 1 species